rnacentral:lncRNA from 1 species
CACACAUGCAGGCUUAGCUCAGGCCAGACCCUCACUGCUAAGGAGUUGCCAUUAUCAUCCCCGAUAUGGAGGCGGGGAACCCAAAACACCAAGAGCAGUGGGUGCUUAGGAAGCCACAGAGCUGGGAGUAGAGCCCCAGCAGCCUGAUCCAGAGCCCCUGUUCUUCACCACCACCCUGCCCUCCUCCAGGGAGCACAAUGGGGGUCCCGGAGCCUCUUUCCAUCUGUUGGAUCUCGGUGAGAGAUCUUACAUUUGGAAAGAAGUCAAGGUAUAGUCUAACCCCAGAAGAUCAAAAUAUAUUGAACUUUUUUUGUAAAGAUGAUAACAGCCAAGAAAACAAAAAUUGAAGUGAACACGAUGAUGAAGAGAGUAAAGAAAGAUAAAGACAAGGCUGAAGGUGGCAUUCAUAAAAGUCCCAGCGCUGAAGGGAGAGGCUGUGCUUGAAGAAGAAAAAGUCUGCUAGCCACGCAUGCAGAUAUUCCCGAAAGCGGACUAAACCUGAUAUUUACAAAAACAUAGUUUUAAAUGAUCAAGACAGUACAAGUUUCAACAUCAG